CUUGAAGAAAAAUCUCAUCUAUUGAGUAUUCUUAAUUCAAAAGGGUACAUGUUUUGUAGAGGAGGAGGAGUCUUGAGGGUUCGGAAGGGCGAUCGUGUUAUAUUGGAGGGGUGGAAAAGGUCUUGGUUAUACAUCUUGAAAGGUUAGACAGAAUUUGUAAAGAAAAGUCAGCACAGAUUUAGUACCAUGGUGGAGGUUUACUUUGGAAAUAUAUCUUUGGGAUUUGGUUCGGGGUCCACAUGGAAGAAUAUUACUUAGUCGAGUUUGGAGGAUAUGGGUAAUUCCACUUUGCUGCCAUUACCUGUGGUUCCAUCGUAUUCAAUUGAUAGGGAUAAAUCCAAUGGAGAUAAGUAUGUGAAUGCUGAUUCGGUUGCACAUGUUUUUAGCUUUUUUAAAUGUGUUGAAACUAGCUAGGAAUCUUCUAUGAAAGCAUUGAGAGUUAAUUCUUCUACCUAGUGCGCUUUAACGUUGUUUGAUAAUUUCUAAUUUUUUGUGAUUUUUGGAGAACCUAGUGUUUGGGUUCUUGUAUCCAUGUUGAAUAUCGUGGAAGAG
rnacentral:lncRNA from 1 species